AUACGGAGGGUGCGAGCGUUACUCGGAGUCACUGGGCGUAAAGCGUCCGUAGGCGGUCGGGUAAGUCGGGUGUGAAAGCCCCGGGCUCAACCUGGGAAGUGCACCAGAUACUGCUCGACUCGAGUGCGGGAGAGGAUGGCGGAAUUCCCGGUGUAGCGGUGAAAUGCGUAGAGAUCGGGAGGAACACCAGUGGCGAAGGCGGCCAUCUGGCCCGCAACUGACGCUGAGGGACGAAAGCGUGGGGAGCAAACAGGAUUAGAAACCCUAGUAGUCC
rnacentral:rRNA from 1 species